rnacentral:rRNA from 1 species
GACAGAGAUGUGGAGCGAAACUCAAAAAAGUAAGUCUCAGUUCGGAUUGAAGGCUGAAAUUCGCCUUCAUGAAGCCGGAAUUGCUAGUAAUGGCAGGUCAGCAUACUGCCGUGAAUACGUUCCCGGGCCUUGUACACACCGCCCGUCACACCAUGAGAGUUGGGAAUACCCGAAGCCUGUGAGCUAACUAUACGAGGCAGCAGUCGAAGGUAGAAUCAAUGAUUGGGGUGAAGUCGUAACAAGGUACC